AUAAGAGGUCCAGCCUGCCCAGUGACAUUGUUCAACGGCCGCGGUAUCCUGACCGUGCGAAGGUAGCGUAAUCACUUGUUCUUUAAAUGAGGACUAGUAUGAAAGGCACCACGAGGGUUACACUGUCUCCUCUCUCCAAUCAAUGAAACUAAUCUCUCCGUGAAGAAGCGGGGAUUUAUUUAUAAGACGAGAAGACCCUAUGGAGCUUUAAACUAAACAGCACGGCUAUUAUCCAAAGAUUUCCCCCCCCAUAGCCCCCUGUUUGUUAGUCUUAGGUUGGGGCGACCACGGAGUAAAAACUAACCUCCGCGUUGAAAGGGAAACACCCUAAACGAAAACCCACAACUUUAUGUAUCAAUAAAUUGACAUCCAUUGACCCAAUUCUUUGAUCAACGAAACAAGUUACCCUAGGGAUAACAGCGCAAUCUACUUCAAGAGCCCAUAUCGACAAGUAGGUUUACGACCUCGAUGUUGGAUCAGGA
rnacentral:rRNA from 1 species